GCGGGCCGGGGAGGAGACGCAGCGCGCGGCGGCGCUGGAGGGGCGACGAGGGCGGUAUAGCUGCCCUGGAGGGGCCGGCCCUCGGGUGUGACAGUCCCUGCCUGGGAAAGCGAAGGAUGGCGGAGUCGAGACCCGUUCCCGGAGCUUCAAGGGGGCAGGGAGGGUACUCUCAUUUUCUUGGGUCUUCAGUCUCUGAAGAAGUAAUACAGGAAAUAGCCACACCUUCAGAAGGAUGAUCUUCAAUGGCAACAAUUCUCAGCAAGUGGAGUGGCUCUGUUCCCAUCUACCUGGAAGGAUUUGUACAGUGAUCCAACAGUCUCUUGAUACCUUCAGCGUCAGCAAGGGAGACAUUGGCAGCCUCCCAUUUUCUCCUUGACUUCAGCCAAUUCCCUUGUCGAGCCAGCUAAAGCAAAAGCAUCUUCAUGAGCAUAAUCCCAUGUCUGAGACUCUUACAGUUUCUCCACAGAUUCAUUCAUUCCUCAUUCCCACAGAAACAAUUUCAACUCUUGGCAGGAACAUAAAUACAAAACUUGUGUGGCAUAGAACAUUUAGCUUUCAGCAAAUCCUCAAGCACUAGCAAAACUUUGCCAGGCAAUACAUGUUUAACCUGGAUGCUAACUGAAAUAGUGAUGUCACCCACAUACCUCCAAAACCUUAUUGAUAACAAGAUAUGCGACUCUUUCUGACAUUAAUAAGAUACAAGGUAAGAUUAUGGUAGUUGCUUAGUUUCCUGUUUGCUAUAUUUUUCAGUGAGUCUUUAACUAGCAAGCAGUAACCAACUAAUGUUGGUUAAAAUAUUAAGAUUAAAAUAGAGUGUUAAGAUUAAAAUAGAGUGCCUAAUGUUAACUGUGGUGAAAUUAUGAGUGCUUGAUAUUCUUCUCUAUAUAUUUUCCGUAUUUUCCAAUAUUUCUACAAGGAACAUAGAGAUUUUCAGGAGAAAAAAAUUUUAAGAAUAUAUUAUGUAAGAAAAGUCAACAACAAAAUACAGUAUUCAUCUCAUGCCCUACACACCUUAAAUACAAUAUUAAGAUUUAUCAAAGAUUCACAGACCUGAAGGAACUUCAAACCAUCACUUACACCAUGCUCUGUCUAGUUAUUAUUAUUCCUCAGUUAUCUCAGAAAGACGCUAAUCAUAUGUUGUAACCUUAUGGUCCGCCACAGUUAGAAAAAUGCUUCAUCUUGCAUUGAUUUCUAGCUUCUUUGAGAUUUAAAUGUCUUAUUUGAAAUUAAAGCCCUGGUUUAUCACUAUAUCUCUUUUCAAUUAUACAACUUUUAUGUCCUGAACUUUAAAAUUUCCCCAUUGAGCUUUUAACCACACAUACACACACACACACACAAUUAGUUUAGGAAUUUGGGCCCACUGCCAAAAUUUUGUUUUUCUGAAGCCUCCUAACCCAGACUUGGUCACUUGAUACUAUCAAUGAACUAAUUUCAAGAUCUUCUUCCAUAUUAUAAUUUAAGGCUGAAAGGACUAGGAAAUUUGGAAACUAACAACUUCCAUGAAUAUGUAGAUACAGCAUCAGGGCUAUAGUGCAAAAUCUACCAGCUGAUGGUAAGAGGGAAGAUGAAGAAGGGAG
ensembl:lncRNA